rnacentral:rRNA from 1 species
CCUACGAGCGGCAGCAGUGAGGAAUAUUGGUCAAUGGGCGGAAGCCUGAACCAGCCAAGUAGCGUGCAGGAUGACGGCCCUACGGGUUGUAAACUGCUUUUAUACGGGAAUAACGCGCCUUACGUGUAGGGCUUUGCAUGUACCGUAUGAAUAAGGACCGGCUUAUUCCGUGCCAGCAGCCGCGGUAAUACGGAAGGUCCGGGCGUUAUCCGGAUUUCUUGGGUUAAACGGGAGCGGAGGCCGCAUGACAAGCGUGCGGUGAAAUGUCCGGGCUCAACCCGGGCCUUGCAGCGCGAACUGGCGUGCUUGAGUCCGCGGAAGGCAGGCGGAAUUCGUCGUGUAGCGGUGAAAUGCUUAGAUAUGACGAAGAACCCCGAUUGCGAAGGCAGCUUGCUGCAGCGGAACUGACGCUGAUGCUCGAAAGCGCGGGUAUCGAACAGGAUUAGAUACCCUAGUAGU